UACGUAUGGUGCAAGCGUUAUCCGGAUUUACUGGGUGUAAAGGGAGCGCAGGCGGCACGGCAAGCCUGAUGUGAAAACCCGCGGCCCAACCGCGGGACUGCAUUGGGAACUACCGGGCUGGAGUGCCGGAGAGGUAGGCGGAAUUCCUAGUGUAGCGGUGAAAUGCGUAGAUAUUAGGAGGAACACCAGUGGCGAAGGCGGCCUACUGGACGGUGACUGACGCUGAGGCUCGAAAGCGUGGGGAGCAAACAGG
rnacentral:rRNA from 1 species